UACGGAAGGCAGCAGUGGGGAAUAUUGCACAAUGGGCGAAAGCCUGAUGCAGCUAUGCCGCGUGUAUGAAGAAGGCCUUAGGGUUGUAAAGUACUUUCAUCGGGGAGGAAAAAACAAAACUAAUAAUUUUAUUUCUUGACGUUACCCGAAAAAGAAGCACAGGCUAACUCCGUGCCAGCAGCCGCGGUAAUACGGAGGGUGCUAGCGUUAAUCAGAAUUACUGGGCGUAAAGAGCACGUAGGUGGUUUUUUUAAGUCAGAUGUGAAAUCCCUGGGCUUAACCUAGGAACUGCAUUUUGAAACUGAAAUACUAGAGUAUCGUAGAGGGAGGUAGAAUUCUAGGUGUAGCGGUGAAAUGCGUAGAUAUCUGGAGGAAUACCUGUGGCGAAAGCGGCCUCCUAAACGAAUACUGACACUGAGGUGCGAAAGCGUGGGGAGCAAACAGGGAUUAGAUACC
rnacentral:rRNA from 1 species